AGAACGAACGCUGGCGGCAUGCCUAAUACAUGCAAGUCGAACGAACUCUUCGGAGUUAGUGGCGCACGGGUGCGUAACGCGUGGGAAUCUGCCCCUUGGUUCGGAAUAACAGUUGGAAACGACCGCUAAUACCGGAUGAUAUCGAAAGAUCAAAGAUUUAUCGCCCAGGGAUGAGCCCGCGUAGGAUUAGCUAGUUGGUGAGGUAAAGGCUCACCAAGGCGACGAUCCUUAGCUGGUCUGAGAGGAUGAUCAGCCACACUGGGACUGAGACACGGCCCAGACUCCUACGGGAGCAGCAGUAGGGAAUA
rnacentral:rRNA from 1 species